UUUAUUGAAAUGGGCUUUCUUGAUUAUUCUGAUUUUAAUCAGAUUCUGUGUGAAUGUUGUGUCUCUAGACUUGAGAAUGUUGAUUUUUGAUGUGUGCUGAAAUCAAAUGCUCAGAAGUGUUGUGAGGCUUGUGCCUCUGCAGAGAAAUUCUGCAAAUCUGUGAGUAAUCCUCUUUAAUUCUUAUUUUCUUUUUCUUUUUUUUCUUCAAAUUUGUAAUGCACUCAUUUAUUAUUUCCUUAUUAUCUUCGCUUAUUCUUACCUCUUUCCAUUAUACUCUCACUACCACUAUUUCUAUAUGUAUAUAUAUAUAUCGAUGUAUGUAUUUCACACAUCUUCUUUCUCUUUCUUUUCUUCUUUAGUGAUUAGCUACACUACACUAC
rnacentral:sRNA from 1 species